AAGUGCAGUGCAUCCUUCAGGAAGAAAACAACAGCUCUCUGCUUUGCAUCAGAAUUUUCAGAGUCCACCAGUGGCCUGUGAGGAGGAAGUUUGACCCCUAGUAACAAGACUUACACCACCUAGGCCCUCAGAGAGGCUGGGCGCAUGAAGAACGAAAAGAAAACCAAAGAGUCUGGUCACGGCGAGUCUCACUGCUCCCCAGCUGAACUCCGGCUGCACUUGCAAAGCACAGACACGGAACACACUCGUGGCAAACCAAGAAGAUGGCCACCUACAAGCCAAGAAGAGGGCCC